GACGAACGCUGGCGGCGUGCUUAACACAUGCAAGUCGAACGGAAAGGCCCUGCUUUUGUGGGGUGCUCGAGUGGCGAACGGGUGAGUAACACGUGAGUAACCUGCCCUUGACUUUGGGAUAACUUCAGGAAACUGGGGCUAAUACCGGAUAGGAGCUCCUGCUGCAUGGUGGGGGUUGGAAAGUUUCGGCGGUUGGGGAUGGACUCGCGGCUUAUCAGCUUGUUGGUGGGGUAGUGGCUUACCAAGGCUUUGACGGGUAGCCGGCCUGAGAGGGUGACCGGCCACAUUGGGACUGAGAUACGGCCCAGACUCAUACGGGAGGCAACAGUGGGGAAUAUUGCACAAUGGGCGGAAGCCGGAUGCAGCAACGCCGCGUGCGGGAUGACGGCCUUCGGGUUGUAAACCGCUUUCGCCUGUGACGAAGCGUGAGUGACGGUAAUGGGUAAAGAAGCACCGGCUAACUACGU
rnacentral:rRNA from 1 species